GCGGGGUUAGUUUAAUGGUAGAACAUCAGUUUUCCAAACUGAUAGCAGGAGUUCGAUUCUCCUAUCCCGCA
rnacentral:tRNA from 1 species